rnacentral:rRNA from 1 species
GCGGCGUGCCUAAUACAUGCAAGUCGAACGGUCUUUCUAUGGAAGCUUGCUUCCACUGAGAAGAUAGUGGCGAACGGGUGAGUAACACGUGGGUAACCUGCCCAUAAGAGGGGGAUAACAUCCGGAAACGGGUGCUAAUACCGCAUAGUUUUCUUGAUCGCAUGAUGAGAAAGGAAAGACGGCCUUUGUGCUGUCGCUUAUGGAUGGACCCGCGGCGUAUUAGUUAGUUGGUGAGGUAAUGGCUCACCAAGACGAUGAUACGUAGCCGACCUGAGAGGGUGAUCGGCCACAUUGGGACUGAGACACGGCCCAAACUCCUACGGGAGGCAGCAGUAGGGAAUCUUCCGCAAUGGACGAAAGUCUGACGGAGCAACGCCGCGUGAGUGAAGAAAGGUUUUCGGAUCGUAAAACUCUGUUGUCAGAGAAGAACAAGUUGGAGAGUAACUGCUCCAGCCUUGACGGUAUCUGACCAGAAAGCCACGGCUAACUACGUGCCAGCAGCCGC